rnacentral:rRNA from 1 species
GACGAACGCUGGCGGCGUGCUUAACACAUGCAAGUCGAGCGGUAAGGCCCUUUCGGGGGUACACGAGCGGCGAACGGGUGAGUAACACGUGGGUGACCUGCCCUCAGCUCUGGGAUAAGCCUGGGAAACCGGGUCUAAUACUGGAUAUGACUCCAUGACGCAUGUUGUGGGGUGGAAAGCCUUGUGCGGCUGAGGAUGGGCCCGCGGCCUAUCAGCUUGUUGGUGGGGUGAUGGCCUACCAAGGCGACGACGGGCAGCCGGCCUGAGAGGGCGACCGGCCACACUGGGACUGAGACACGGCCCAGACUCCUACGGGAGGCAGCAGUGGGGAAUCUUGCGCAAUGGGCGAAAGCCUGACGCAGCGACGCCGCGUGAGGGAUGACGGCCUCGG